rnacentral:rRNA from 1 species
AGUGAACGCUGGCGGUAGGCCUAACACAUGCAAGUCGAACGGCAGCACAGUAAGAGCUUGCUCUUACGGGUGGCGAGUGGCGGACGGGUGAGGAAUACAUCGGAAUCUACUUUUUCGUGGGGGAUAACGUAGGGAAACUUACGCUAAUACCGCAUACGACCUACGGGUGAAAGAAGGGGAUCUUCGGACCUUGCGCGAUUGAAUGAGCCGAUGUCGGAUUAGCUAGUUGGCGGGGUAAAGGCCCACCAAGGCGACGAUCCGUAGCUGGUCUGAGAGGAUGAUCAGCCACACUGGAACUGAGACACGGUCCAGACUCCUACGGGAGGCAGCAGUGGGGAAUAUUGGACAAUGGGCGCAAGCCUGAUCCAGCCAUACCGCGUGGGUGAAGAAGGCCUUCGGGUUGUAAAGCCCUUUUGUUGGGAAAGAAAAGCAGCAGGUUAAUACCCCGCUGUUCUGACGGUACCCAAAGAAUAAGCACCGGCUAACUUCGUG